UACUGUGAAGGUGGAUAGUACAUUGGUGGCUGUGAAUUGAUCGUAUUUUGUGGCAUUGAAGGCAAAGGAGGAGGUGGGGGAGGUGGAUAAGAAGAAUCUGGAGGCGGUGGUGGAGGAGGAUAAGAAUAUUGCUGUUGUGGAGGCGGAGGUGGUGGUGGUUGUUGGGGUGGUCUAGGAGGGUAACCGUAAUUCGAAUUUGGAUUCAUGUGAUUGUAAUUUUGACCAUACUGCUGUUGCUGUUGUUGUUGGGGUUGAAGAGGGUUUUGAUUCUGCGG
rnacentral:lncRNA from 1 species